rnacentral:rRNA from 1 species
UGGGAAUUUUGGACAAUGGGCGAAAGCCUGAUCCAGCAAUGCCGCGUGUGUGAAGAAGGCCUUCGGGUUGUAAAGCACUUUUGUCCGGAAAGAAAUCCUUGGCUCUAAUACAGUCGGGGGAUGACGGUACCGGAAGAAUAAGCACCGGCUAACUACGUGCCAGCAGCCGCGGUAAUACGUAGGGUGCAAGCGUUAAUCGGAAUUACUGGGCGUAAAGCGUGCGCAGGCGGUUUGCUAAGACCGAUGUGAAAUCCCCGGCGUCAACCUGGGAACUGCAUUGGUGACUGGCAGGCUAGAGUAUGGCAGAGGGGGUGAGAAUUCCACGUGUAGCAGUGAAAUGCGUAGAGAUGUGGAGGAAUACCGAUGGCGAAGGCAGCCCUGGCAAGUACUGACGCUCAUGCACGAAAAGCGUGGGGAGC